rnacentral:rRNA from 1 species
UACGGAGGAUGCAAGCGUUAUCCGGAUUUAUUGGGUUUAAAGGGUGCGCAGGUUGUUUGAUAAGUCAGUGGUGAAAGUCUGUCGCUUAACGGUAGGAUUGCCAUUGAUACUGUUGGACUUGAAUAUGGAUGAGGUAGGCGGAAUGUGUAGUGUAGCGGUGAAAUGCAUAGAUAUUACACAGAACACCGAUUGCAAAGGCAGCUUACUAAUCCAUCAUUGACGCUGAGGCACGAAAGCGUGGGGAUCAAACAGGA